AUUGAACGCUGGCGGCAGGCCUAACACAUGCAAGUCGAGCGGAUGAAGGGAGCUUGCUCCUGGAUUCAGCGGCGGACGGGUGAGUAAGUCCUAGGAAUCUGCCUUGUAGUGGGGGAUAACGUCCGGAAACGGGCGCUAAUACCGCAUACGUCCUGAGGGAGAAAGUGGGGGAUCUUCGGACCUCACGCUAUCAGAUGAGCCUAGGUCGGAUUAGCUAGUUGGUGGGGUAAAGGCCUACCAAGGCGACGAUCCGUAACUGGUCUGAGAGGAUGAUCAGUCACACUGGAACUGAGACACGGUCAAGACUCCUACGGGAGGCGGCAGUGGGGAAUAUUGGACAAUGGGCGAAAGCCUGAUCCAGCCAUGCCGCGUGUGUGAGGAAGGUCUUCGGAUUGUAAAGCACUUUAAGUUGGGAGGAAGGGCAGUAAGUUAAUACCUUGCUGUUUUGACGUUACCAACAGAAUAAGCACCGGCUAACUUCGUG
rnacentral:rRNA from 1 species